CCUACGGGUGGCAGCAGUGGGGAAUAUUGGACAAUGGGCGAAAGCCUGAUCCAGCCAUGCCGCGUGUGUGAAGAAGGCCUUCGGGUUGUAAAGCACUUUCAGUGGGGAAGAAAGCCUUGGGGCUAAUACCCUCGAGGAAGGACAUCACCCACAGAAGAAGCACCGGCUAACUCCGUGCCAGCAGCCGCGGUAAUACGGAGGGUGCGAGCGUUAAUCGGAAUUACUGGGCGUAAAGCGCGCGUAGGCGGUCUGAUAAGCCGGUUGUGAAAGCCCCGGGCUCAACCUGGGAACGGCAUCCGGAACUGGCAGGCUAGAGUGCAGGAGAGGAAGGUAGAAUUCCCGGGGUAGCGGGGAAAUGCGGAGAGAUCGGGAGGAAUACCAGUGGCGAAGGCGGCCUUCUGGACUGACACUGACGCUGAGGUGCGAAAGCGUGGGUAGCAAACAGGAUUAGAUACCCGGGUAGGC
rnacentral:rRNA from 1 species